CAAGGUGAGAGAUACGGAGGUAGAGCACUGAAUGUCCUAGGGGGUAUUGCACCUACCGAAGACUAUCAAACUCCGAAUGCCGUCAUCUUAUACUUGGGAGUCAGACUGUGGGUGAUAAGAUUCAUAGUCGAAAGGGCAACAGCCCAGAUCUUCAGCUAAGGUCCCUAAAUGUAAGUUAAGUGGUAAAGGAUGUGGGAUUGCACAGACAACCAGGAUGUUGGCUUAGAAGCAGCCACUCAUUCAAAGAGUGCGUAAUAGCUCACUGGUCGAGUGAUCCUGCGCCGAAGAUUUCCGGGGCUAAAACUUACUACCGAAGCUACGGCAUCAGUAAUGAUGGGUAGGGGAGCUUCCCAUACGGGUUGAAGCAUGACCGUAAGGACAUGUGGACAGUAUGGGAGUGAGAAUGUUGGCAUGAGUAGCGAGAUGUGGGUGAGAAUCCCACAGGCCGUAAACCCAAGGUUUCCAGGGGAAGGUUCGUCCGCCCUGGGUUAGUCGGGACCUAAGCUGAGGCCGAAAGGCGUAGGUGAUGGACAACAGGUUGAUAUUCCUGUACUACCGAUAACCGUUUGAGAGAAGGGAUGACACAGUAGGAUAAGCUAAGCACACUGUUGGUUAUGUGUGCCCAAGCAUUGAGGCAGUCAAAGUAGGCAAAUCCGCUUUGAUAAUGCUGGGAUGUGAUGGGGAGCGAAAUU
rnacentral:rRNA from 1 species